GGGGUGAAGUCGUAACAAGGUAACCGUAGGGGAACCUGCGGUUGGAUCACCUCCUUACCUUAAAGAACCUGCCUUUGUAGUGCUCACACAGAUUGUCUGAUGAAUGAAGAACUUCUGAAUGUACUUUUGAGUGCAUUAAGAAGUUUUGCUCUUUAAAAAUCUGGAUCAAGCUGAAAAUUGAAACGACACACAGUUAAUGUGUGUUCGAGUCUCUCAAAUUUUCGCAAUUUGAUGAUGAAUCGAAAGAAACAUCUUCGGGUUGUGAGGUUAAGCGACUAAGCGUACACGGUGGAUGCCCUGGCAGUCAGAGGCGAUGAAGGACGUGCUAAUCUGCGAAAAGCGCCGGCGAGGUGAUAUGAACCUUUGACCCGGUGAUGUCCGAAUGGGGAAACCCAGUGUGUUCCGA
rnacentral:misc_RNA from 1 species